ACGAACGCUGGCGGCAGGCCUAACACAUGCAAGUCGAGCGAAGUAGCAAUACUUAGUGGCAGACGGGUGAGUAACAUGUAGGUAUCUGCCCUUUGGCCUGGAAUAACACGAGGAAACUUGUGCUAAUACCGGAUAAGUCUUUACGGAGAAAGCUUUAUGCACCAUUGGAUGAGCCCGCACUUGAUUAGUUUGUUGGUAGGGUAAUGGCCUACCAAGACUAUGAUCAAUAGCUGAUUUGAGAGGAUGAUCAGCCACAUUGGGACUGAGACACGGCCCAAACUCCUACGGGAGGCAGCAGUGGGGAAUCUUAG
rnacentral:rRNA from 1 species